CCUACGGGAGGCAGCAGUGAGGAAUAUUGGUCAAUGGCCGUAAGGCUGAACCAGCCAUGUCGCGUGAAGGAAGAAGGAUCUAUGGUUUGUAAACUUCUUUUAUAGGGGAAUAAAGGUAUCCACGUGUGGAUGUUUGCAUGUACCCUAUGAAUAAGCAUCGGCUAACUCCGUGCCAGCAGCCGCGGUAAUACGGAGGAUGCGAGCGUUAUCCGGAUUUAUUGGGUUUAAAGGGUGCGUAGGUUGUUUUUUAAGUCAGCGGUGAAAUUUUGUGGCUCAACCAUAAAAUUGCCGUUGAAACUGGAAGACUUGAGUGUGUUUGAGGUAGGCGGAAUGUGUGGUGUAGCGGUGAAAUGCAUAGAUAUCACGCAGAACUCCGAUUGCGAAGGCAGCUUACUAAGCCAUAACUGACACUGAAGCACGAAAGCGUGGGGAUCAAACAGGAUUAGAUACCCCUGUAGUC
rnacentral:rRNA from 1 species